CACUUCUGUUCUGUUUCCGGGUUAUGGUAUGUUCCGGAAUGCUCAACAUGACAUGUGCUUUGCACUCGAGUGACUCGAACUUGAACAGCCGCGAUGUGCAUCCAUUCUUGCUGUUCGUGUACUUUAGAACGCAGAAGGCGUCAGCAAUGGUUGCGGGAUCACAGCCUUUUUCGUCGGUAGUAAACUCUUCCUCACCAUCGUCACCCUUUUCUUUAUCGUCGUUAUCGCGAUCACCAACAAUUGGCACCGAGUCUGGAUUGAGAAUGGAUGCUGAUGCAGCUUCAGAUAAAACUUUGAUCGCAUCAACCAACUUAUCUUUGCAAAUGCUACAAAUGCCAGGGCCAGAAGGAAAGCAUUCCGGAUGAAAGGAGUGCCCACAACCAUGGAGAAUUUUCAUGCUUGUAUUGAUGGAUGGUUGCACACAAUUAGAUCCUGUGACAUUCAGCUACGAUUUCAAGGCGCUGUGUCUCAAAUAACUCCUCAUCUGAUGUCUUAUGAUAUGACAAGGCCUUCUAGACCCUGUUGGUGGGAAGAUAUCCUUAUUGGAGGAGACUUAGUGAAGUUCGAUUGGAAUUUCUCGAACUCGGGAAGUGCACAGGUAAGAAGAACAUAUUUAUGUAAAUAUUUAUGUAAAUUUCAUUUAUUGCUGCAAAGAGCGAGUUAGAAUAGCCAAUUACUGUGCAUCUCAAAACAAAAUACGUAGUAAAUUGUGCUCAGUACAGUGAGGAGAGGGGUUGAAAAAAUCCCAGUUGAAUGCAUCAAUUUAACGAGCUUCAGUAUAGAGAGAUCCGCCUGUCGUACAGCGAAUAAAAUAAAUUGAUUGUAUCAAUCUAACGAAUGCAUAGGCAAAAAAUAUAGAUUUUCUGACAUUGAUGCCAUCUCGACACAACAAUUUGCUUUUUGAAGAUUCGAAAGAAUCAAAAUAUUGUUGACUCCGGAAAGAUUGUUCGGAAGAAAACCUACAAUCCAGGACAAAAAUUAAUGAAAAAUUAACGCAAUUUUUUUCAAUUUUCUACUUUACAUGGCCGUUGUUAAUUCGCGACCCCCUUUCCUUCGAAUAAAUAUUUAAUCAAAAGCUCUAUCAUUUGUGUUUCAGAAACAUUUAUAAACUGAAAUGUUGCGGUUUGAAUAAGCAAAAAGCAGAGUCAGGAAUUGUAACGACAGUAACUCAAUAAAACAUAGGUGAAUACAAGAAAAAUAAAUAAAGUAAAAACAUUUUUCUAGGUGCGAAUAUGAGAGCAAAAAGCAUCAUUUAAGGAAAAAAUAUGGUCUAGCAAUGAGCAUUUCAGGAUACAUGAAUCGAAGGAGACUAACAUGUCGAACAGAUUUAUUGACUCACACGGGUGACUAAGUUUACACCCAAGGGGCCUAUGGAAAUGAAGAAAUCAGUCAUAAAAAAUUCCAUACUUGC